GUGCUCGCUUUGGCAGCACAUAUACUAAAAUUGGAACGAUACAGUGAAGAUUAGCAUGGCCCCUGCACAAGGGUAACAUGCAAAUUUGUGAAGUGUUCCAUAUUUUU
ensembl:snRNA U6 U6 spliceosomal RNA